rnacentral:rRNA from 1 species
AACAGGAUUAGAUACCCUGGUAGUCCAUGCCGUAAACGUUGGGCACUAGGUGUGGGGGACAUUCCACGUUUUCCGCGCCGUAGCUAACGCAUUAAGUGCCCCGCCUGGGGAGUACGGCCGCAGGGCUAAAACUCAAAGGAAUUGACGGGGGCCCGCACAAGCGGCGGAGCAUGCGGAUUAAUUCGAUGCAACGCGAAGAACCUUACCAAGGCUUGACAUGAACCGGAACGGCGCAGAGAUGUGUCGGCCACUUGUGGCCGGUUUACAGGUGGUGCAUGGUUGUCGUCAGCUCGUGUCGUGAGAUGUUGGGUUAAGUCCCGCAACGAGCGCAACCCUCGUUCCAUGUUGCCAGCGGGUUAUGCCGGGGACUCAUGGGAGACUGCCGGGGUCAACUCGGAGGAAGGUGGGGACGACGUCAAAUCAUCAUGCCCCUUAUGUCUUGGGCUUCACGCAUGCUACAAUGGCCGGUACAAAGGGUUGCGAUGCUGUGAGGUGGAGCUAAUCCCAAAAAGCCGGUCUCAGUUCGGAUUGAGGUCUGCAACUCGACCUCAUGAAGUCGGAGUCGCUAGUAAUCGCAGAUCAGCAACGCUGCGGUGAAUACGCUCCCGGGCCUUGUACACACCGCCCGUCAAGUCACGAAAGUUGGUAACACCCGAAGCCGGUGGCCUAACCCUUUUGGGGGGGAGCCGUCGAAGGUGGGACCGGCGAUUGGGACUAAGUCGUAACAAGGUAACC